GACGUAGGGUCCAAGCGUUGUCCGGAUUUACUGGGCGUAAAGAGCGCGCAGGCGGUCAGAUAAGUCGAAUGUGAAAGCCCCCGGCUCAACUGGGGAGGGUCAUUCGAUACUGUUCGACUCGAAGGCAGGAGAGGGAAGCGGAAUUCCCGGUGUAGUGGUGAAAUGCGUAGAUAUCAGGAGGAACACCGGUGGCGAAGGCGGGGUCUCUGGGCAAUUCCUGACGCUGAGGCGCGAAAGCGUGGGGAGCGAACAGG
rnacentral:rRNA from 1 species